AUAAAACCAGGAUCUUGGAGAGAGGAGAAAUGUCAAGAUAGGGAGAAGGAAAAGUGAGAAAUCUAGAACACAGCACAGGAGUAGCUGAUGGAAAUCUUGGAAAAGCAGAAUUUCUGGAAACCCAGAGUCUCCCUGGACCAGCCAACAAGAUUCCAUGCCCUCUGCCAUGACCCUCCCUAAUCCAUUUUGCUCAAUUUCCUUUGGGUCCUUUUUUAUGGCCACAAGUUGUCUUAGGACUGCUCUUCUUGCCUUAGACUGUUUCUGGUCAUUUUCCCCAAACUUCUUGUUUGCUCGGGGCUUGGUCCUUCCCAAGCUCAAGGUUACCUUCCGUCUCCCAACGUGCCUCCUCUGUGCCAUGAAUAUGGAGAAACAAGCUCUGUUGGGACCCCACUCACCCUCAUCCAGUGCAUUUCAUUCACCCUUUCAGUGCCUCACUCCCGCCAUGGCUCCCCGGAGCAAUGACAUCCACUCCUGAAGAAUCCGUGGCCCACUUAGGAGGCAGAGUGUCCAGUCUUGUCUGCCCAGGCACCCUGUGCAACCACCUACUCCUGGGCCUGGCCCUUUCCCAUUUUGUUUCUUUUCAUUUUUCUCUUCCCAGGCUAGAGGAUUUUUUUCCCCUCCCAGAAUAACUAAAUUCCUUUGGCUUCUUGUUUGUGGAAGGUAUUCUUGCUGUUAUCACAGAUCUUCUCUCCUUUACUUUUUCCUUUAUGGGAUUAAUAUCCUUUAAGGAUUCAGGCUUUUGAGGAAAAUAAAAACCAAGGAAAAUGUUAGGCUAUUUCUGCUUUACUCCCAGUCACACCCUACUCUUGUUUAAGUUGGGGCCGGGGGGUGCCGUGCAGAAGGUGAACUGUGAGGAAAAGAAAAAAAACUGAAGGAGAAAAAAUUGUCAUACCGUGCAAUACUAUACAGCCAGCUGCACUCAUAAUGGGCAGUCAAAUUCUGCGGUCUAUUCAAAGUUAUUUCCUAUAGUCCUUCCUAAUCGGCCUUGAGAUAGGGGAGGAAAAGAAGACGGG
ensembl:lncRNA